UGGCGGCGUGCUUAACACAUGCAAGUCGAGCGAAGCGAUUUCAAGGAAGUUUUCGGAUGGAAUUGAAAUUGACUUAGCGGCGGACGGGUGAGUAACGCGUGGGUAACCUGCCUCAUACAGGGGGAUAACAGUUGGAAACGGCUGCUAAUACCGCAUAAGCACACAGUGCCGCAUGGUACGGUGUGAAAAACUCCGGUGGUAUGAGAUGGACCCGCGUCUGAUUAGGUAGUUGGUGAGGUAACGGCCCACCAAGCCGACGAUCAGUAGCCGACCUGAGAGGGUGACCGGCCACAUUGGGACUGAGACACGGCCCAAACUCCUACGGGAGGCAGCAGUGGGGAAUAUUGGACAAUGGGGGAAACCCUGAUGCAGCGACGCCGCGUGAGUGAAG
rnacentral:rRNA from 1 species